UUGACAUUGUCCUAAGAAGAUUUAAUCU
rnacentral:piRNA from 1 species